ACAUGCUUAUACAAUGGCGUUAAUGCACCGGAUCCCAUUAGAACUUCACAGUUAAGCACGCUCAAGCUAGAGUAGUAUUGGGAUGGGUGACCGCUUGAGAAGUCCUAGUAUUUUACAUGCC
rnacentral:rRNA from 1 species